rnacentral:misc_RNA from 1 species
GUGAUUAAAUCGAGCGUGUCUUCAUUGACCGCUCACCCUUCUCACCAUCUACCACAUACACCUGUGCACUGUUUAGCCUGAGCCGGUUUUCCGGUCCAGGUUAUCAUUUCAUACAAAACUCUAGUCUUAUGAAUGUAAACGUUUUAAUAACAUAAUA